rnacentral:rRNA from 1 species
CUUCCGUGGUCAAGCACGCAGCCCGUCCCACAGGCAAAUCCGUGGGGCGCGUGGGCGAGGUGCGAUGAUGGGCGCCGCAGGGCGCGAUAUCCGGUGAUCCCGGCUGCCGAGAAAAGCUUCGGCGUGAGGCGGCGUGCCGCCCGUACCCCAAACCGACACUGGUGGUCAGGUAGAGAAUACCAAAGCGAUCGAGCGAAUCCUGGUCAAGGAACUCGGCAAAUCACUCCCGUUCCUUCGGUUUAAGGGAGACCCCCGAUGGUGAAGCGGCUUGCCCGUGGAGCUUUUGGGGGUGGCACAGACCAGGGGGUAGCGACUGUUUACCAAAAACACAGGAGCGUGCGAAGGCGCAAGCCGCUGUAUACGCUCUGACGCCUGCCCGGUGCCGGAAGGUUAAGAGGAUCCGUCAGGCUUCGGCCGAAGCGGUGAAUUCAAGCCCCGGUAAACGGCGGUGGUAACUAUAACCAUCCUAAGGUAGCGAAAUUCCUUGUCGGGUAAGUUCCGACCUGCACGAAUGGCGUAACGACUUCCCCACUGUCUCGACCAGGAGCUCGGCGAAAUUGCAGUACGAGUAAAGAUGCUCGUUAAGCGCAGAAGGACGAAAAGACCCCGGGACCUUUACUAUACCUUGGUAUUGGCAUUCGGUGUGGAUUGUGUAGCAUAGGCGGAAGGCUUCGAAGCCACGGCGCCAGCCGCGGUGGAGCCGCAAGGUGAAAUACCGCUCUGUUCGCAUUGGAUGUCUAACCUCGACCAGUCAUCCUGGUCAGGGACAGUGCCUGGCGGGUAGUUUAACUGGGGCGGUUGCCUCCCAAAGAGUAACGGAGGCGCUCAAAGGUUCCCUCAGCCCGGUUGGCAAUCGGGUGGCGAGUGUAAGUGCACAAGGGAGCUUGACUGCGAGACUGACGGGUCGAGCAGGGACGAAAGUCGGAACUAGUGAUCCGGUGCCGGUGUACGGACGCGGCAUCGCUCAACGGAUAAAAGGUACCCCGGGGAUAACAGGCUGAUCAUUCCCAAGAGUCCAUAUCGACGGGAUGGUUUGGCACCUCGAUGUCGGCUCGUCGCAUCCUGGGGCUGGAGCAGGUCCCAAGGGUUCGGCUGUUCGCCGAUUAAAGCGGCACGCGAGCUGGGUUCAGAACGUCGUGAGACAGUUUGGUCUCUAUCCUCUGCGCUCGUCGGAAUGUUGAGGAGGCCUGCCCAUAGUACGAGAGGACCUGGGUGGACGAACCUCUGGUAUGCCGGUUGUCACGCCAGUGGCACGGCCGGUUGGCUACGUUCGGAAGGGAUAACCGCUGAAAGCAUCUAAGCGGGAAGCCUGCUCCAAGAUAAGCAUUCCAUAGGACUACGGGUCCUUGAAGUCCCCAUGCAGAACACGUGGUUGAUAGGCCGGACGUGGAAGCCCCGCGAGGGGUGGAGCCGACCGGUACUAA